rnacentral:rRNA from 1 species
GCAAGUCGAGCGGAAACGAAGAUAGCUUGCUAUCAGGCGUCGAGCGGCGGACGGGUGAGUAAUGCUUAGGAAUCUGCCUAGUAGUGGGGGAUAGCCCAGAGAAAUUUGGAUUAAUACCGCAUACGCCCUACGGGGGAAAGGAGGGGAUCUUCGGACCUUUCGCUAUUAGAUGAGCCUGAGUGAGAUUAGCUAGUUGGUGGGGUAAAGGCCUACCAAGGCGACGAUCUCUAGCUGGUCUGAGAGGAUGAUC